AGACGUGGAAGUCCACUGCGGUUACUUCAUGUGCUUAAUGAUUUUGUUUCCAAACGACAGGCCUAUUGUUGUCAGAGUUUUUGAAAUCGAUGCUUCACUUUAUUAUUUACUUUAUUGUUUAACGUUUUUCAUUUUUCGCCGAUGAGUUGAUACCCUUAGUUGAAAGGAAACUUAGCUUGUAGCCUACUUAAAACUAACUUCAUUUUAGGCUAGUAUGGGAUAUGCUUGUCAUUAUCCCUAGGGUGUUGUGUCACCGUUACAUAGCCGGUAUAACGUUAUGUCGUUCUGAUAAUACUGCCAUUUCGUUGAGUUGCGAAUGCUGGAUCUAGAGGGUAAAUUGAAGAAAAAUAACAUAAGUAACAAACACGCACACACACACACACACACCAUCGCACAGAAAAUANNNNNNNNNNCACACACUCACACUGACACACACACACACACACUCUCAUACUGUGUUGCCUCCCCAGGACGUUCGAUGAUGACUAUGAGGAGGCGGAGCUUCCUGUUCAAGGAGAGAUGGUUGGGAAUAAGAUGGAUAAGCUGCUCAUAUCAGAUCUGUCAGCAUGAAAUUCCCAAAGCCUGGAAUACCGCUCCCUUCUCCUUGGAUAUACAGGAGACGGGGAGAGAGGAAGAGGGAUGGACGGGAGAAAUGAAGAACAAGCUAAAGUGAUGGAGGACUCCAAACUCUCUCAGCUUCUCCUUUCAUACACAGACAGGGACAGAAGAGAUGGUGAGAAGACAGAGAGGAUGGACAGAACGAGAGAGAGGAUGGACAGAACGAGAGAGAGGAUGGACAGAACGAGAGAGAGGAUGGACAGAACGAGAGAGAGGAUGGACAGAACGAGAGAGAGGAUGGACAGAACGAGAGAGAGGAUGGACAGAACGAGAGAGAGGAUGGACAGAACGAGAGAGAGGAUGGACAGAACGAGAGAGAGGAUGGCCAGAACGAGAGAGCACUCUGGCAGCUGUCCUCUCAGCCCUCUGUAGGAGAGAAAACGUGUUUUCCACUCUUUUAUCUUCAUUGGAGUUUGUGUGUUUGUGUGUUCGUGUCAUCCCAAAGACUGUGUUUGGUGCAAUAAUGUGUCUUAACAUGUUUAAAAUGUAG
rnacentral:lncRNA from 13 species